CCGAAAAAAUCGAUCAGGAACAAUGGAAAUUAUGUUACAAGGAUGACCCAGUCAGCGAUAAACAGAAUGCAAUAGUGUCAAAUGUUUGCAAAGGCAGAGCACGUUAUGUUAUAGUUUACCAGAACGACACCUCUGGAUAUUAUGAGAGACCUAUUCUUGAAAUCUGUGAAAUAGAAAUUUUUGGCUGCAAUUCGGAUCAAUUCAGUAAGGGAGGAGAGUGCAUACCUUGUACUGGAACGUUUUGCGUAAAUUGUGACACUGAUGGGAUAUGUUUAGAAUGUAUGAAUCAAACAUAUGGUGCGCACUGUGAAAAAAAAUGUCCUGAGUCAUGUGCUGGAGAAUGCAACAUCAGGACGGG